UACGUAGGGUGCGAGCGUUGUCCGGAAUUAUUGGGCGUAAAGGGCUCGUAGGCGGUUUGUCGCGUCGGGAGUGAAAACACCGGGCUUAACUCGGUGCUUGCUUUCGAUACGGGCAGACUAGAGGCAUGCAGGGGAGAACGGAAUUCCUGGUGUAGCGGUGAAAUGCGCAGAUAUCAGGAGGAACACCGGUGGCGAAGGCGGUUCUCUGGGCAGAUACUGACGCUGAGACGCGAAAGCGUGGGUAGCAAACAGG
rnacentral:rRNA from 1 species